rnacentral:rRNA from 2 species
UGGAAGUGCGGCGACGCAUGGAGCGGACUAGUACUAAUGGUUCGAGGACUUAACCAAGUU